GAGGGUAUAGCUCAGCGGUACAGCACAUGCUUAGCAUGCACGAGGUCCUGUGUUCAAUCCUCAGUACCUCCG
rfam:Camelus ferus unplaced genomic scaffold scaffold1684, whole genome shotgun sequence.